GCCUCUAUGGUCUAGUGGUACGAUACUCCGUUUGGGCGAGCUGUUAUACAGCAAGUGAUUCGGAGUGGUCCUGAGUUCGAUCCUCAGUGGAGGCC